rnacentral:rRNA from 2 species
CACACAGUAAACGAUGAAUACUAGCUGUUUGCGAUACACUGCAAGUGGCCGAGCGAAAGCAUUAAGUAUUCCACCUGGGGAGUACGCCGGCAACGGUGAAACUCAAAGGAAUUGACGGGGGCCCGCACAAGCGGAGGAACAUGUGGUUUAAUUCGAUGAUACGCGAGGAACCUUACCCGGGCUUGAAUUGCAUUUGAAUACAGUGGAAACAUUGUAGCCAGCAAUGGCAAAUGUGAAGGUGC